rnacentral:rRNA from 1 species
UACGAAGGGGGGCUAGCGUUGUUCGGAUUUAGCUGGGCGUAAAGCGCACGUAGGCGGAUUGGUCAGUUAGGGGUGAAAUCCUGGAGCUCAACUCCAGAACUGCCUUUAAUACUGCCAGUCUCGAGUCCGGAAGAGGUAAGUGGAACUCCUAGUGUAGAGGUGGAAUUCGUAGAUAUUAGGAAGAACACCAGUGGCGAAGGCGGGCUUACUGGCCGGUACUG